AGCGAACGCUGGCGGCAGGCCUAACACAUGCAAGUCGAACGAAGUCUUCGGACUUAGUGGCGGACGGGUGAGUAGCACGUGGGAACGUACCUUUUGGUUCGGAACAACUCAGGGAAACUUGAGCUAAUACCGGAUGAGCCCUUAGGGGGAAAGAUUUAUCGCCGAAAGAGCGGCCCGCGUUAGAUUAGCUAGUUGGUGAGGUAAAGGCUCACCAAGGCUACGAUCUAUAGCUGGUCUGAGAGGAUGAUCAGCCACACUGGGACUGAGACACGGCCCAGACUUCUACGGGAGGCAGCAGUGGGGAAUCUUGCGCAAUGGGCGAAAGCCUGACGCAGCCAUGCCGCGUGAAUGAUGAAGGUCUUAGGAUUGUAAAAUUCUUUUACCAGGGACGAUAAUGACGGUACCUGGAGAAGAAGCCCCGGCUAACUUCGUGCCAGCCGCCGCCGUAACAC
rnacentral:rRNA from 1 species